rnacentral:lncRNA from 1 species
AAGAGAAAAAGCUAAAGCAAUAUGUAUAGUUUAGGAUUUACACAUAAAACACUUCAUGAAUGAGAGAAUCAGAACCACACUUCAGAGUUUUGCACAAACUCAAAUAUUUCAACGUGAAGUGAGUUAAAUAUCUGCUGUUACCUAUCUGGGACAUUUAAGAAGGAAAUAGGUGAGAUAAAUAAAAAUGGAUAACUUAAAUUAACAUAGGAAAAUUCAUUUUCAAAGAGAAAACAAACUUAUUACAUUUUUCAAUGCAUUCCCUAUUUUUUAUACAUAGCAAACUACAUUCAUAGCUUCAUUGGCCACUCGAUAGUUCAAGGAAAUACCUAGGAAUGAGGAGAAUCAAAGAAGCGAGGAAUCAGUAGCCAACAACAGAGCCCAGAUUCAGCAAUAAAAUAGUACUAAAACCAUCAAAUCAAAUUUCAAAUUCCUGAAACCAUUCUAGCAUUUGGAAAACCCAAAAUGUAUUAUUUCUACUGAGCUUUUGAAUCCUGACUUAUCCUAGGAAUUUAAAACUCAAAAUCAAGCAGAAAUUCUAGCCAUUUUUCAGUAUUUUUCUGGAAAGAAAGCAACUCAACCGUUUUUACGUUUUUCAGGAUUUU